rnacentral:rRNA from 1 species
UCCGACUGCUAUCCGGGUAAGACUAAGCCAUGCCAGUUGAAUGAGACUUCGGUUUCAUAGCGUACUGCUCAGUAACAAGUAAUCAACUUACCCUGAAGUGGGGCAUAACCUCGGGAAACUGAGGCUAAUUCCCCAUAGUUGAAGCGUCCUGGAAUGGUGCUUCAUCGAAAGAUUUUUCGCUCCAGGAUAGGAUUGCUCUCGAUUACGGUAGUUGGUGAGGUAAUGGCUCACCAAGCCUCUGAUCGAUAAGGGCCGUGAGAGCGGGAGCCCUGAGAUGGAUACUGAGACAAUGAUCCAUGCCUUACGAGGCGCAGCAGGCGCGCAACCUUUACAAUGCACGCAAGUGUGAUAAGGUUACCCGGAGUGCCGAGAGAAAAACUGUCGGCUGUUAUAGGUGUGUAAAAUACCCUAUGAGAAAGGAGAGGGCAAGGCUGGUGCCAGCCGCCGCGGUAAAACCAGCUCUUCAAGUGGUCGGGACUUUUAUUGGGCUUAAAGUGUCCGUAGCCGGUUUGAUAAGUUCCUGGUUAAAUCUGGCAGCUUAACUGUCAGUCAGCUAGGAAUACUGUCUUACUAGAGGGUGGGAAAGGUUUGAGGUACUCUAGGGGUAGCGGUGAAAUGCGAUAAUCCUUAGGGGACCACCAGUGGCGAAGGCGUCAGACUGGAACACGCCUGACGGUGAGGGACGAAAGCCAGGGGAGCGAACGGGAUUAGAUACCCCGGUAGUCCUGGCUGUAAACGAUGCGUGCUAGGUGUUGGUAGGGCUUUGAGCUGUAUCAGUGCCAAAGGGAAACUGUUAAGCGCGCCGCCUGGGAAGUACGCUCGCAAGAGUGAAACUUAAAGGAAUUGGCGGGGGAGCACCACAAGGGGUGAAGCCUGCGGUUC